GUCGUAACAAGGUAGCCGUAGGGGAACCUGCGGCUGGAUCACCUCCUUUCUAAGGAUGUUUAGAAGCAAUUCUAAACUUUUGCUUAGCAAUAGCUCAUUCUCAAGAUGAGCAAAAACGAUCAAGCCUCCCUCUUAUCUCUUCAAGCCGUAUUCCAAGCCUGCUUAGAGUAACGGAUUUAAUAAUGCGGUAACCGGUUUGGGGUCGGUAGCUCAGGUGGUUAGAGCGCACGCCUGAUAAGCGUGAGGUCGGAGGUUCAAGUCCUCCUCGACCCACCAUCUUAUUAAGCAGUAAUUUUGCAAGGGGCGUUAGCUCAGCUGGGAGAGCAUCUGCUUUGCAAGCAGAGGGUCACCGGUUCGAUCCCGGUACGCUCCACCAAAAAUAGCAAUCUUGAGUGGCAUACUUUUUCAAGUUUUUUAAUAUCGUUUAUAAAUGUGUGAAAAUACACGAGACGUUUUUGGGUUUUUUUUAAGUAAGAAAAAAACAAGGUAUUCAAUUAUCAACCGAAAACAGUCUUUCCAAGUCUAAAAAUUACUGACUAAAUUUUAUUCAAUUCUCGAAUAAAUGACUUCUGUUCUAGAAAAAGUGAUAUCUUCUUCUAGAUCGGAUCAAGCGCGAUAAGGGCGUUUGGUGGAUGCCUUGG
rnacentral:misc_RNA from 1 species